rnacentral:sRNA from 1 species
AUUGGGUGUGGUGGUACAUAUCUGUAGUCUUAGCUACUGAGGAGGCUGAGGUGGGAGGAUUCCCUUGGCUCAGGAGUUCAGGGCCAGCCUGGGAAACAUAGCAGGACCCCAACUCAA